ACCGACGAUGGCGACUACAACAUCAAGCUGCGCAACAUCCGCCGUUUUCUGGCGGAGGGCGACAAGUGCAAGAUCACGCUGCGCUUCCGUGGCCGUGAGAUCACGCACCAGGAACUGGGCCUGGCACUGCUCAACCGCAUCCGCGAUGACCUCGCUGAUCUGAUCGUGGUGGAGCAGUUCCCCAAGCUCGAAGGCCGGCAGAUGAUCAUGAUGAUCGCGCCGGGCAAGAGAAAGCCUGCCGGCAAAUCGGCGGCAGAAGGCGCUGCAGCAGCCGCUCCGGCGGCAUGAGGCGCCAAGAAUCCGCCAGUGCCCUGCAAGGGCGCU
rnacentral:misc_RNA from 1 species